rnacentral:lncRNA from 1 species
UCUCCAAAAUCCUCUUGCACGUCGAUAUGAGAUCAUAUCCCCUCUUUCUCUUAUGUAGUUGUUUCAUUGGGUUGCACUCGAGUUAGGUUGGAUUGAAUACAAUAUAGAUUAAAAAUCCGUCAAUUCCAAUAUGAUAUGUAUAUUAAAACAGGUUAAAAAUCUCAUUUUGAACUUGACCAUUUUAUUAAAAGCCUACGUGG